rnacentral:lncRNA from 1 species
CAUGGGGUGUAGACAGUGACUGGGGAAUGAAGGUGGGCAGGAGGGAAGGGGACAUUUGAACUGUCGCUCCAUACGGAUGCAACCCUGAGAGGACCUGACAGACAGUGCCAGGCAGAAGAUGACCUGGGAGCUACCUGAGUCAGUGUCACCCAUCUGGGCAAGUCCUUCAGGCAGGAGAAGCCACUGUGGAGAGCUGGCCUUCUCUGAGCAAGACUUGCCCAUUCAGCAAGCACUUUUUGGCCUCCACCGUGCUGAUGGAGUGGCAGAGAAUAAAAGAAAGAGAAGACAAUGAAGCCAAUGUAGCUGAGAAGGAGCAUUUCUGAAAUUGGAAGCUGUCCCCUACACCAAACAUGCUAAUAGAGGAAGUGAAAAUUUGGCCUGAAAACUCCAGUUUGAAGAAGGCGAGUGACAUGAUCUAAUUUUUAAUGUUUCAAGAUCCCUCUGGAGGCUGGGUGGCACAGAGUCAGGAAAGGAGGCAGGGGUG